AGCAGUGAGGAAUAUUGGGCAAUGGGCGAAAGCCUGACCCAGNCACGCCGNGUGUGUGAUGAAGGCCUUCGGGUCGUAAAGCACUGUGGGGAGAGACGAAACAGCGCAUCAGGAAAUGGGUGCGCCUUGACGGUACCUCCUUAGCAAGCACCGGCUAACUCUGUGCCAGCAGCCGCGGUAAUACAGAGGGUGCAAACGUUGCUCGGAUUUACUGGGCGUAAAGCGCGUGUAGGCGGACUCGCAAGUCGGUUGUGAAAUCCCUGGGCUUAACCUAGGAACUGCAUCCGAAACUGCUUGUCUUGAGUAAUGGAGAGGGUGGCGGAAUUCCCGGUGUAGAGGUGAAAUUCGUAGAUAUCGGGAGGAACAUCAGUGGCGAAGGCGGCCACCUGGACAUUUACUGACGNUGAGACGCGAAAGCGUGGGGAGCAAACAGGAUUAGAUACCCUGGUAGUCCACGCCGUAAACGAUGAGAACUAGGUGCAGCGGAUAU
rnacentral:rRNA from 1 species